UUGCGUGACGAAGCCCGUGCCAAAGUGGACAAUAAGGGCUGAGCGUUAAGCAACACGUCAAACGCCGGGUGAAUCCGGCGUGAGAGU
rnacentral:sRNA from 1 species